rnacentral:rRNA from 1 species
CCUACGGGAGGCAGCAGUGGGGAAUUUUGGACAAUGGGCGCAAGCCUGAUCCAGCCAUGCCGCGUGUGGGAAGAAGGCCUUCGGGUUGUAAACCACUUUUGUCAGGGAAGAAACGGUCUGAACUAAUACUUUGGACUAAUGACGGUACCUGAAGAAUAAGCACCGGCUAACUACGUGCCAGCAGCCGCGGUAAUACGUAGGGUGCAAGCGUUAAUCGGAAUUACUGGGCGUAAAGCGUGCGCAGGCGGCUUUGCAAGACAGAUGUGAAAUCCCCGGGCUCAACCUGGGAACUGCAUUUGUGACUGCAUGGCUAGAGUACGGUAGAGGGGGAUGGAAUUCCGCGUGUAGCAGUGAAAUGCGUAGAUAUGCGGAGGAACACCGAUGGCGAAGGCAAUCCCCUGGACCUGUACUGACGCUCAUGCACGAAAGCGUGGGGAGCAAACAGGAUUAGAUACCCUGGUAGUCCACGCCCUAAACGAUGUCAACUGGUUGUUGGGAGGGUUUCUUCUCAGUAACGAAGCUAACGCGUGAAGUUGACCGCCUGGGGGAGGUACGGCCGCGAGUAGAACGUACAANAGAGUUAGACGGCGUGAGACGUGCGACGGACGACGACGAGGGAGGAGG